rnacentral:rRNA from 1 species
UACGUAGGGGGCGAGCGUUGUCCGGAGUUACUGGGCGUAAAGGGCGUGCAGGCGGUGCGGUAAGUUUAGCGUGACAGUCUCCGGCUUAACUGGAGAAGGCCGCUGAAAACUGCUGGACUUGAGGGCCAGAGAGGGACAUAGAAUUCCGGGUGGAGCGGUGAAAUGCGUAGAUAUCCGGAGGAAUACCAAAGGCGAAGGCAGUGUCCUGGCUGGCAACUGACGCUGAGGCGCGAAAGCGUGGGGAGCAAACAGG